rnacentral:rRNA from 1 species
AUUGAACGCUGGCGGCAGGCCUAACACAUGCAAGUCGAGCGGAGCGGCGGACGGGAGAGCAAUGCCUAGGAAUCUGCCUGGCAGUGGGGGAUAACGUCCGGAAACGGGCGCUAAUACCGCAUACUAUAAGAUGAGCCUAGGUCGGAUUAGAUAGUUGGUGGGGUAAAGGCCGACCAAAGCGACGACCCGUAACUGGUCUGAGAGGAUGAUCAGUCACACUGGAACGGCGAGACGGUCCCGACUCAGCCGGGAGGCAGCAGUGGGGAAUAUUGUACAAUGGCCGAAAGCCUGACCCCGCCAGACCGGGUAAGUAAAAAAGGUAUUCGGAUUGUAAGGCACAUUAAGAGAGGAGGCGUUAACAACAGAAAAAGCACCGGCUAACUUCGUGCCAGCAGCCGCGGUAGUUC